rnacentral:lncRNA from 1 species
GUAUCUAGAGGGGGUGUCGUGGGUUCACGUGAACCCAUGCUCCCCUCUCUAGAUCAUAUAUAGUAGUGUUAUAUUUUUUUUAAAAUAUUUAAAUAUAGAUGUGUGAACCCAUGUUCAAAGUAUCAUAUAAUAAUACGAUGAUGAUUAGGUGCACCUCUCUAACUGAGGAUAGAAAUUUAAAUCUUAUAUUUAUCUUGCCUUUUUGAGUAACACCACUCCAAGUGGUUAUCGGUGACACUUAUGACGUUUCAACUAAUUUUUCUUUUGUAUUUUUGCCUUUAAUCUUUCAAAAUUUUCAAGUGUCUUACAUUGAAAAUUCCUAAAAAAUUAAGCACUGUAAAUUUUUUAUAUAAUUAAAUCAAUUGUGUAUAUUAAAAUUUAAAACUAAUAGUAUUAUAUAUUUUGAAUCUAUAGUUUUUAAAAUUUAAUAGGGGUUCACCAGGUUCACGUGAACCCAUGCUCCCCUCCUGAAAUCAUAAAUAGUAGUGUUAUAUUUUUUAAAAAAAUAUUUAAAUAUAGAUGUGUGAACCCAUGUUCAAAGUAUCAUAUAAUAAUACGAUGAUGAUUAGGUGCACCUCUCUAACUGAGGAUAGAAAUUUAAAUCUUAUAUUUAUCUUGCCUUUUUGAGUAACACCACUCCAAGUGGUUAUCGGUGACACUUAUGACGUUUCAACUAAUUUUUCUUUUGUAUUUUUGCCUUUAAUCUUUCAAAAUUUUCAAGUGUCUUA